GAUGAACGCUGGUGGCGUGCCUAAUACAUGCAAGUCGAGCGAACGGACGAGAAGCUUGCUUUUCUGAUGUUAGCGGCGGACGGGUGAGUAACACGUGGAUAACCUACCUAUAAGACUGGGAUAACUUCGGGAAACCGGAGCUAAUACCGGAUAAUAUUUUGAACCGCAUGGUUCAAAAGUGAAAGACGGUCCUGCUGUCACUUAUAGAUGGAUCCGCGCUGCAUUAGCUAGUUGGUAAGGUAACGGCUUACCAAGGCAACGAUGCAUAGCCGACCUGAGAGGGUGAUCGGCCACACUGGAACUGAGACACGGUCCAGACUCCUACGGGAGGCAGCAGUAGGGAAUCUUCCGCAAUGGGCGAAAGCCUGACGGAGCAACGCCGCGUGAGUGAUGAAGGUCUUCGGAUCGUAAAACUCUGUUAUUAGGGAAGAACAUAUGUGUAAGUAACUGUGCACAUCUUGACGGUACCUAAUCAGAAAGCCACGGCUAACUACGUG
rnacentral:rRNA from 1 species